rnacentral:rRNA from 1 species
AGGGCGUACGGUGGAUGCCUUGGCGAUAUCAGCCGAAGAAGGACGCGGUAAGCUGCGAUAAGCUACGGAGAGGUGCAAGCAACCUGUGACCCGUAGAUUUCCGAAUGGGGGAACCCGGCAGUGGUUAUGCACUGUCACCCAUAGCUUAGACUAUGAGGAGGGCACCUGGGGAACUGAAACAUCUAAUUACCCAGAGGAACAGUAAUCAAACGAGAUUUUCUUAGUAGCGGCGAGCGAACGGGAAAGAGGCCAAACCGGAGCGGGCAACCGCACCGGGGUUGAGGACAGUCAUCAAGUGUAAAUGAGGUAGAAGAAUCGAGCUGGAAAGCUCAGCCGUAGAAGGUGAAAGCCCUGUAAUCGAAACCUUGCAUACAUGGGACUGUAUCCAGAGUACCACGAGACACGUGAAACCUUGUGGGAAGCAGGGGGGACCACCCUCCAAGCCAAAAUACUGAUAUCGACCGAUAGCGCAUAGUACCGUGAGGGAAAGGUGAAAAGAACCCCUGGCGGGGAGUGAAAGAGAACCUGAAACCGUAUGUCUACAAACAGUCGAAGUCUGUAUAUAUAUCAGGACGACGGCGUGCCUAUUGAAGAAUGAACCGACGAGUUACUGUUGCUAGCGAGGUUAAGUGGAAAACAUGGAGCCGCAGCGAAAGCGAGUCUGAACAGGGCGUUCAGUUAGUAAUAGUAGACCCGAAACCGUAGUGAUCUAUCCAUGGCCAGGUUGAAGCACAGGUAAAAUUGUGUGGAGGACCGAACUCGUGAGCGUUGAAAAGCUUUGGGAUGAGUUGUGGAUAGGGGUGAAAUGCCAAUCGAACACGGAGAUAGCUGGUUCUCCCCGAAAUAGCUUUAGGGCUAGCCUCGAGGUAGAGAGUAUAGGCGGUAGAGCACUGAUCGGGCUAGGGGCCAUACCGGUUACCGAACCUAGUCAAACUACGAAUGGCUAUACUUAUACUCGGGAGUCAGACAGUGAAUGAUAAGGUCCAUUGUCAAGAGGGAAACAGCCCAGAACACCGACUAAGGUCCCCAAUGUUACACUAAGUGGCGAAGGAUGUGGAAUUUCCAAAACAACCAGGAUGUUGGCUUAGAAGCAGCCACCAUUUAAAGAGUGCGUAAUAGCUCACUGGUCGAGAGACUCUGCGCCGAAAAUGUCCGGGGCUAAAGUGUAAAACCGAAGUCGUGUCAUAUGCAGCAAUGUAUAUGGGUAGGGGAGCGUUCUCAUUGGGUUGAAGCAGUACCGUAAGGAGUUGUGGACUGAUGAGAAGUGAGAAUGUCGGUAUGAGUAGCGAAAAGAAUGGUGAGAAUCCAUUCCACCGAAAGCCUAAGGGUUCCUGAGCAACGAUCGUCGUCUCAGGGUAAGUCGGGACCUAAGCCGAGGCGGAAAAGCGUAGGCGAUGGACAACAGGUUGAAAUUCCUGUACCGGUGUGAAUCGUUUGAUCGAAGGAGUGACACAGUAAGGUAGGUCAGCACGCGAUUGGAAGUGCGUGUUUAAGCAUGUAGGUUGAGUUAUAGGCAAAUCCGUAGCUCUAAAAGCUGAGAUGUGAUGACGAGCUGUUUACAGCGAAGUGAUUGAUCCUACACUGUCGAGAAAAGCUUCUAGGUAGAGACACAUCGCCCGUACCAAAACCGACACAGGUAGGUGGGGAGAGAAUCCUAAGGUGCGCGGGAAAACCCUCGUUAAGGAACUCGGCAAAAUGCCUCCGUAACUUCGGGAAAAGGAGGACUCAUGUAGUGUGAAGAGCAGAAGCGCUUGGAGCAUGAAUGAGUGGCACAAGAGAGGCGCAAGCGACUGUUUACCACAAACACAGGUGCCUGCUAAAGCGAAAGCUGAUGUAUAGGUGCUGACACCUGCCCGGUGCUGGAAGGUUAAGAGGAGGGGUUAGACUUCGGUCGAAGCUCUGAAUUGAAGCCCCAGUAAACGGCGGCCGUAACUAUAACGGUCCUAAGGUAGCGAAAUUCCUUGUCGGGUAAGUUCCGACCCGCACGAAAGGUGUAACGACUUGCGCACUGUCUCAACGAGGGACCCGGUGAAAUUGAAGUACCUGUGAAGAUGCAGGUUACCCGCGACUGGACAGAAAGACCCCAUGGAGCUUUACUGCAACCUAAGAUUGAACUUAGUUAAUGAAUGUACAGGAUAGGUGGGAGACGUAGAACCUAGGACGCCAGUUUUAGGGGAGUCGCUGUUGGGAUACCACCCUUUCAUUAAUUGAUUUCUAACGGGCCGAGUAA